rnacentral:rRNA from 1 species
CCUACGGGCGACAGCAGUGAGGAAUAUUGGUCAAUGGACGAGAGUCUGAACCAGCCAAGUAGCGUGCAGGAUGACUGCCCUAUGGGUUGUAAACUUCUUUUGUAUGGGGAUAAAACGCUCCACGUGUGGGAUUUUGUAUGUACCAUACGAAUAAGGAUCGGCUAACUCCGUGCCAGCAGCCGCGGUAAUACGGAGGAUCCGAGCGUUAUCCGGAUUUAUUGGGUUUAAAGGGAGCGUAGGUGGAUUGUUAAGUCAGUUGUGAAAGGUUGGGGCUCAACCGUAAAAUUGCAGUUGAAACUGGCAGUCUUGAGUACAGUAGAGGUAGGCGGAAUUCGUGGUGUAGCGGUGAAAUGCUUAGAUAUCACGAGGAACUCCGAUUGCGAAGGCAGCUCACUGGACUGCGACUGACACUGAGGCUCGAAAGUGUGGGUAUCAAACAGGAUUAGAUACCCGUGUAGUC